rnacentral:rRNA from 1 species
UACGUAGGGUGCAAGCGUUAAUCGGAAUUACUGGGCGUAAAGCGUGCGCAGGCGGUUUUGUAAGUCUGUCGUGAAAUCCCCGGGCUCAACCUGGGAAUGGCGAUGGAGACUGCAAGGCUAGAGUUUGGCAGAGGGGGGUAGAAUUCCACGUGUAGCAGUGAAAUGCGUAGAUAUGUGGAGGAACACCGAUGGCGAAGGCAGGUCUCUGGGCUGACACUGACGCUCAUGCACGAAAGCGUGGGGAGCAAACAGG